rnacentral:SRP_RNA from 1 species
UAUUAAGCCCCACGCAAUGGAAACGUGCCCAACCCCGUCAGGACCGGAAGGUAGCAGCGGUAAGCAUUGUUUUCAUGUGCCGUGGGUUCCCUUGUAUCG